AUUGAACGCUGGCGGCAGGCCUAACACAUGCAAGUCGAGCGAGCGGCGGACGGGUGAGUAAUGUCUGGGGAUCUGCCCGAUAGCGGGGGAUAACUACUGGAAACGGUGGCUAAUACCGCAUACUAUCCGAUGAACCCAUAUGGGAUUAGCUUGUUGGUGUGGUAAAGGCUCACCUGGGCGACGAUCCCUAGCUGGUCUGAGAGGAUGAACAGCAACACUGGAAAUGAGACCCGGCCCAGACUCCUACGGGAGGCAGCAGUGGGGAAUAUUGCACAAUGGGCGCAAGCCUGAUUCAGCCAGGCCGCGUGUGUGAAGAAGGCCUUCGGGUUGUAAAUCCCUUUCAGCGGGGAGGCGUUACUCGCAGAAGAAGCACCGGCUAACUCCGUGCCAGCAGCCGCGGUAAUAC
rnacentral:rRNA from 1 species